rnacentral:rRNA from 1 species
AACGAACGCUGGCGGCAGGCCUAACACAUGCAAGUCGAGCGCCCCGCAAGGGGAGCGGCGGACGGGUGAGUAACACGUGGGAAUUUUCCUCAAGGUACGGAACAACUCAGGGAAACUUGGGCUAAUACCGUAUGAUGCAGAGAUGCCAAAGAUUUAUCGCCUUGGGAUAAGCCCGCGUCAGAUUAGGUAGUUGGUGGGGUAAUGGCCUACCAAGCCUGUGAUCUGUAGCUGGUCUGAGAGGACGAUCAGCCACAUUGGGACUGAGACACGGCCCAAACUCCUACGGGAGGCAGCAGUGGGGAAUCUUGCGCAAUGGACGAAAGUCUGACGCAGCCAUGCCGCGUGAAUGAUGAAGGUCUUAGGAUUGUAAAGUUCUUUAGCCUGUGACGAUGAUGACGGUAACAGGAGAAUAAGCCCCGGCUAACUUCGUGCCAGCAGCCGCCGUAAGAC